rnacentral:lncRNA from 1 species
UCAUGGUGUGUGGCUGGCACACCACGUUCCCUGCCUCUCGAAUAUUCUUCUCUUUUUUAAUAAAAAAAAAACAAAAAGCAGUAGCCCGCAAAAACAAAAACUCUCCCCUUUCCUUUCUAGUUUCCAUAAAACAAGCCCAAAACUCUCCCUCUCUAACGCCUUCUACAAAGCAGAAAGAAAAAAGCAAAGAGAAUUCAAAGAGAAGAAAUGGCUUCGUUUGCAGAAGCACCACCUGGCGAUUCAAAAGUCGGAGAGAAGGUCUUUAAGACCAAGUGUGCUCAGUGUCAUACCGUCGACAAGGGUGCCGGUCAUAAGCAAGGUAACUUUAUCGCCCCCCGCUUUUUGUUUGGAUCUUAUAUUUUCGAGGUCAAAUUGUCUGUUAUUUUGUUGAUUAUUAUGUUUUCAGCCCCAAUAAUUCGUAGAUCUAAUCUGUUUAGAUGGACAGAACUGUGGAGCUCUCUCUCUCUCUCUCUCUCUCUCUCUGUGAUGGGUUUCAGGUUUUUGCAAGGAAAUCAUGAUUUUAGUGAGAGGUGGAAGCUGGGUUUAGAAAUGGAUUUAAUUAAGCAAAGAUUAAAUUUAUGUGGGUUUCUUUUAGUGUUUUUUUAAGGUUUUAGGAUGAUAUUUAUAAUUUUGGAUUGGGAUUUGGGAUCUGGUAUUUAAUGAGUGAACAUUUUCGAUAGUUAAUUUCUUCUGAGAUUUGCGUUAAAAUUAGUUGCUUGGUUCCUGUGUUUUUAAGGUUUUAAUUUGCUUCGACUGUUUAAAUGGUCAGGACCCAAUCUGAAUGGCUUGUUUGGAAGGCAGUCAGGAACAACUGCUGGAUACUCUUACUCUACUGCUAACAAGAACAUGGCUGUCACGUGGGAGGAGAAGACUUUGUAUGAUUACUUGCUCAACCCCAAGAAGGUAUUAAUCAACUCUAAAGCAUAGUAUGACUUGGCAUGUUUGUUGCAUCGACAGUGCGUCUUUAACUGGUUAAGAAGUAUGGUUUAUACAUUGAGGUUUUGUGAUAAUUCUGUGAUGAUAGCUGAACUUAGUUGCUUUCUAUCAAGUUAUGACAUUGUUACUCAGCAUUUGGUAACUUAAGGUCCCGAAGAGAAACAUGCUGGACAAUCUGCUAGGUCCAGUAAUUAGGAAGGCUGGGUUAAAAAUUGAAGGACUUGCAAACAGAGAACAUGGAGCGUGUAGAUUAUAAUGUUUAGGCUUUGCUCUGAGAUCAAGGUUGAAUAAUCAAGGAAAGCGACCCCAUCAUUGAUGAUAUUUAUCCUAUGGUGUAUGAAAUGAACUUUCACAUUUCAUUUCAAUGUGAUAAGAUAGCCUAGCAUUUAUAGUUGAUAGAAUCAUCGGACUAUCUUAGAUACAGAUGAAUAACUCAUGUCUUGACACUGGCGUUUGUGCCUCUUAUACCAUGUUUAUUUUUGUUAGUUUGCGAUGCUGACCCAUAGUGAAAAUUGUUUAUGCAGUACAUCCCUGGAACGAAGAUGGUUUUCCCUGGAUUGAAGAAGCCACAGGAGCGUGCUGAUCUCAUUGCAUACUUGAAGCAGUCCACUGCAUCUUAAGCAUUUCACACUUCCCCAUUUUGCAGUUGUUGGAGAUAAUUUUUUUUUUUUACCAAUAAAGUAACCAUCCUAUACAAUGAGCAUUGCUAGUCAAUGCUCCUUCGAAGAGUUGCCAUAAUUGGCAAACUAAACAUUCGAUUCAUUUAGCUUACUGUGCCUCUAUUUUGCAAAUAUUUGGUGGAUUACCAAUAAACAGUUUGUUAAUGAUAGUUUUUGGUUUUGAUAUUGCAUGAACAUUUCCAUAGUUGCUAUUGUUUGCCAUCAAUCUACUCUGAUGCAUAGCAGGUCUAUGGUAAAGUACUUUUGAAUGAAAUGCAAAAUGGUGUAUUGGCAUCUCUAGCAGCCGAUUACUGGAAUGCUUUCAUUUUCCAGUGUUGGAUAAAUGCAACUGAAUGAAUCAUUCCCCCUUCUACCCAUCUCCAAUGGUUUGGCCUAUUGCCCGGCAAAUUCCAUCUACGUGGGGGUGGGAGCUCCACUCGAUGCUGUUGCGGGUGAUUGGUAUUAAUCCGAUACUGUUUUUUACUGCUCUAGGUAACCUUAGAUCUUCUGUUAUGCUUGUAAGCAGUCUAAGGACUGGGAUGCAAAAUGUGAUAAAAUGGCCUUUACUAGUGACUUUGUCCGGGAAAUGCGAGUUUAUUUUUAUUUUUUCUUCCUGUCGAGUACUAUAUUUCUUACAUGCAACCAUGAUAAUCCCUAGUAAUCAAAGGUUGCCGUGACACAGUGAACUGGAAUUGAUUUCUGCUCCUUUUGUGGGUAAAAAGUACUAGAGGGAGAAACUUGUCCGCAAAUCCUGAACUGAAUAGAAAGGGGAGAGGAUGAUAUGAACGAUCGAUGGUUAAGUUGUGAGAAAAAUUGAUUACUUUUUACCUGUUAUGCAAACAAACGUGCAUUCAUACUUCGAUUAUCCAUGUUUAGUUUCAUGACACGUUUUCAGAUCAGAUCGGUCUACAAGCCUUCUUCUCAUGUCGGCCAGUAAUUCUGAUGUUAAUUACUUAUUUUAUCCCCAUAAAUGCCCCCUCUGAGAUCGAUUUACUAUGUUCUGUCUCCUUCACUCCUUUUUCCUUCCUUCUGGUUAAUGAUGGAUAAUUAUUUAACAUCACCAGUGGCCAAAAAAUCUAAAAACAUGGAGUAUAUAAGGAAAAUGUGAUAUAAAAAAACUAAAUUUGAGAAACCUUAACCUCAAAAGCACCACCGCCGUGUCUCGCGCACCUAAACAGCCACCCUCUUCCCUCUCAAUCUUGCGCUCGCCACACAGCCACCCUUUCGAAAUCGUUCAAUAACCAAAACAUUAACGAAUGAAAUGGAGUGGAAUCGAGGCGACUCGUCGAUGAGUUUGGGUAAGUUAUGGGGUGAGUCAGAUGAGUGGGUGGAGCGAGUUAAAUACUAACAUCACCAAUUUGGAUGGUCUCCAGGAGUGCUAAUGGAAAGUAAGCUCACAGACGAGCAAAAAUGGCAGAAGAAAAGUUAAAUCAGAGAGGGAGAGUAAGAGAGGGAGAUUUCCUGAAUUUCAAGCUCAUCAUUAAUUCAUCAUUUCAUAAUAUUCUCACGCCCAGACAAAUUCAGUUACAUGUAAUUUAGCCAUGAUAUUCCUUCUACACUAGCUGAUAACUAUCACGAAGUUAAUGUUCCAAGGCAAAUAAAGAACUGAAAGGAACAGAUAAAACGCUACGUAUGACAAACAAGCAAAACAAACAUGUAAAAAAAAAACAAAACAAAACAAAAAAAAAAAUACUAGUAUCUAACACUACUCUAAAAGGCAUGGGGCUUUCCCCACGCCUUUUAUUUUUCUUAUAUUAAUAUUUUUGUUUUUUUUUCUUUUCUCAUGAUUGUCUUUUUUUAAAAAAUAAAUUAUAUUUUUUUUUCAAAAUUAUUUUUGCUGAUUUUCUUUUAAUAUUGAAUUGGUUGAGAAUUUAGCUCUGUUAUUUAAAAAAAACAUUAUGGAUUGCUAUAAUGUUUCCCUGUAUGAUUUUUUUCUUUCUUUUUAUAAUUGUUUUUUUUUCCAAAAUGAUCAUUGUUGAUUUUUUUUUUCAUAUUGAGUUUGUUGAGAAUUUAGCUUUAUAGUUUUUUUAAAAAAAAACAUUGUAGAUUACUACAGUAUUUUCUCCACAUGGAUUUUGUUUUGGUACAAUAUUUCUCUAUGUUUUUUUUUCAAAAUUAUCUUUGUUGAAUAUUUUUUUUUUAAUAUUGAGUUGGUUGAGAAUUUAGCUUUAACUUUCCCUAAAUGUUUUUUCCCCCAGAAUUGUCUCUUUUUUUUUGUUUUUUUUGUGUUUUUUUCAUAAUUAUUUUUGUCAAUUUUAUUUUUUUAAUAUUGAGUUAGUUAAGAAUUUAGCUUUGUAGUUUUUUCUUUAAAACACUGUUGAUUGCUACAGUGUUUUUUCAUAUGAUUUUUUUUCUUUUUUCUUUGUUUUUUUUUCUAGAAUUGUUUUUGUCAAUUUUAGUUUUUUUCAUAUUAAGUUGGUUGAUAAUUUAGCUUUAUAGUUUUUUUCUUGAAAAAAAAACAUUGUGGAUUGCUAUAGUGUUUCUGCACAUGAUUUUUUCUUGAUACAGUGUUUCCCCACAUGUUUUUUUAUCGAUUUAUUUUCAAAAUUAUCUUUGUCGUAUUUAUAUUUUUCAUACUGAGCUGGUUGAAAAUUUAGCUUUAUAGUUUUUUUCUUUAAAACACCGUUGAUUGCUAAAGUGUUUCCCCACAUUUUUUUUUGUUAUAAUAUUUUUCAAAAUUAUCUUUAUCGAUUUUAUUAUUUUUAAUAUUGAGCUGGUUAAAAAUUACAACUGUAGAUUUUCUCAUGAAACACUAUAGAUUGCUACAGUGUUUCCUGCAUAGUUUUUUUUUCUUUUGUUUUUUUUAUGAUUUUUUCUAAAAUUAUCUUUAUUGAUUUUAGUUUUUUAAUAUUGAGUUGAUUGAAAAUUACAAUUGUAUAUUUCCUUACAAAACACUAUAGAUUGUUGUAGUGUUUCCUUACAUGAUUUUUUUUUUAUGAUUUGUUUUUAAAAUUAUUUUUGUUUAUUUUAUUUUUUUAAUAUUAAGCUGAUUGAGAAUUUAGCUUUUGUAGUUUAAUUUGUUUUUUGAAAAUAUUAUAAAUUGCAAUAAUAUUUUUUCCUAUAAUUAUUUUUUAAAAAAUUUUAUAAUUUGUUUUAUAAAUACAUGAGAAUGUGCAAGAAUACAUAAACCCGCGAAAACGCACGGGUAUAGCAACUAGUAAUGAAAAUAAAAGGCGUGGGAAAACUACAGUACUUUCCCACGCCUUUUAGAGUAUUGUUAAUAAUAAUAAUAAUAAAACAAGCCCAAAACUCUCCCCCUCCAACUCCUUCUAGAAAGCAAAAAGCAAAGAGAAUUCAAAGAGAUGAAGAAAUGGCUUCGUUUGCAGAAGCACCACCUGGCGAUUCGAAAGUCGGAGAGAAGAUCUUUAAGACCAAGUGUGCUCAGUGUCAUACCGUCGACAAGGGUGCCGGUCAUAAGCAAG